rnacentral:rRNA from 1 species
GACGUAGGUGGCGAGCGUUGUUCGGAAUCACUGGGCUUAAAGGGCGCGUAGGCGGGCUCUCAAGUCAGGGGUGAAAACUUUCGGCUCAACCGGAAAAGUGCUUCUGAUACUGGGAGUCUCGAGGGAGGUAGGGGUCGGUGGAACUGGUGGUGGAGCGGUGAAAUGCGUAGAUAUCACUAGGAACGCCGGUGGCGAAAGCGACCGACUGGACCUCUUCUGACGCUGAGGCGCGAAAGCCAGGGGAGCGAACGGG